rnacentral:lncRNA from 12 species
CUCUUAAUGGUAUCAAUUUAUAGGGAAUAAAGGGACAAUGGACAUGGUAAAUGAUGCCCCAGUGAUGGAAUCAGCAAAAUCCAGAGAAUUUCCCCAAUAGCACUUCUAAAUGGGCUUUCUUAACUUCCCCCACCAAGUCACCCUCACUGUCUUACCUCAACAGUCCCACCAUGAACCUUGUCGCCAUCCCAAACUGACCUACCUUGAAAGUGACUAACUGAAAUAGUGUACUCUCUGCUCUCUGAUCACGAUUUUUAGUGUUUCCCACUUAGUUCAGCCAUUUCCCCUACAACCAUUCCCAGAUGCCGACUUCCAUUCUUCUUUCCUAAAGAUGUAUUUAUUUGUUAUUUUAAAGAGAGAGAGAGAGCAUGAGCGGGAGGGGCAGAGGGAAGGAGGCUCUGAAGCAGCUCCACAAUGAGCGAGGAGCCAGAUGUGAGGCUCGAUCUUAUGACCCUGAGAUUAUGGCCUGAGUUGAAAUCAUGAGUUCGGUGCUCAACCGACUGAGCCACUCAGGUGCCCCCCAUUCUUCCUUUUACUAGACAUAUAGUGUUGCAUCUGCAGUGAUGCCUCCAACUUUCCACUAAAAAAGGAAGCCAUUAGAAGGGACUCCCUCAACACCCUGCUACCAAAGCCACGAACCUAUACCUCUGUCCCCAGCCUCUCUUUUCUUCCUCUUGUCACUGAAGAAGUGUCCCUCCACUUACGCACAAUUAGAUCUCGGACCUGUGUUUGGGAUGCCCACCUCCAACUUUUGGAACUUUACUACACUGAUUAUACCUUCUCAUUCUCGACUCUCUUCAACCUCCGUAUCUAUCACUGGCCUGUGAAAUACUUCACUCAGGAAGAGGCAUUACACGCAUACCAGCCUGAGAGAAUGCCCAACGAAGACCAACUGGAGCAGGAAUGGGAAUAAUUAAGACGGCUUCCUUUAAUAGUUGAGACUUAUGGAAGACUUUGAAAGUCCUAGACCACUCUGACCCUGGAAAACAUGCAGAUGCCAAGGUUAUCCCAGAGGCAACCAGCAAAUCCCCAUCCUGCUGGCACCCCUCACUGAAGCCUCCACCUCAUCUGGGCUCAGCCUCCUUGGCUCCCACUUCAGGCCUUUGGGGAAAGGUUGACAUUAACCAACAAAGAGAUUCUUUGAAAAGCCUGGGAGCCCAGAAAGAAAAGCACAAACUGGACUCUCCAUCUGCCUGCUUGGCUGUUGUGUAAGAGCUGGAAGGGGAAGAGGAGUGGCAGGGGCAGGGUGGCUCACAGUGGCCACAGUUAGUCCCCUGCUGCGGGAGAGCCAACUCUGCUGACAGGCUGGGCCUCUCCCUCAGGUUUUCCCUGGGACUAGACAAAAGAGGAAUAGAGAGCAGGAAAAGGGUGGAGGCCUCAAAUAAAAAUUAAUUAACACUAUCUAUUUUUCUUUCU